CAUUACAAUAUAAAGCCACCAUGUUUUCAUCAAACUCUGAAUUAAAUCAGACUUUAAUCAAAUGAGUGUGCAGUAGGAAGUGAAAUAUUUCAAAAGAG